GGCCGCGGGAAUUCGAUUCAGGCCUAACACAUGCAAGUCGAACGGCAGCACGGACUUCGGUCUGGUGGCGAGUGGCGAACGGGUGAGUAAUAUAUCGGAACAUACCCAGUAGUGGGGGAUAACUAUCCGAAAGGAUAGCUAAUACCGCAUACGAUCUGUGGAUGAAAGCAGGGGAUCUUCGGACCUUGUGCUAUUGGAAUGGCCGAUAUCUGAUUAGCUAGUUGGUAGGGUAAAAGCCUACCAAGGCGACGAUCAGUAGCUGGUCUGAGAGGACGACCAGCCACACUGGAACUGAGACACGGUCCAGACUCCUACGGGAGGCAGCAGUGGGGAAUUUUGGACAAUGGGGGCAACCCUGAUCCAGCAAGGCCGCGUGAGUGAAGAAGGCCCUCGGGUUGUAAAUUAAAUGUGUCAGGGAAGAAACGGAGUUCUCUAAUAUAGGAUUCUAAUGACGG
rnacentral:rRNA from 1 species